rnacentral:rRNA from 1 species
UACAGAGGUGGCAAGCGUUGUUCGGAAUUACUGGGCGUAAAGGGCGCGUAGGCGGUCUUGUCAGUCCCUUGUGAAAUCUCCCCGCUCAACGGGGAGCAGCCAUUGGAAACUACAAGACUGGAGUCUGACAGAGGUAGGCGGAAUUCCGGGUGGAGUGGUGAAAUGCGUAGAGAUCCGGAGGAACACCAGAGGCGAAGGCGGCCUACUGGGUCAGUACUGACGCUGAGCCGCGAAAGCCAGGGGAGCGAACGGG